AGUGAACGCUAGCGGUAGGCCUAACACAUGCAAGUCGAACGGCAGCACAGUAAGAGCUUGCUCUUACGGGUGGCGAGUGGCGGACGGGUGAGGAAUACAUCGGAAUCUACUUUUUCGUGGGGGAUAACGUAGGGAAACUUACGCUAAUACCGCAUACGACCUACGGGUGAAAGCAGGGGAUCUUCGGACCUUGCGCGAUUGAAUGAGCCGAUGUCGGAUUAGCUAGUUGGCGGGGUAAAGGCCCACCAAGGCGGCGAUCCGUAGCUGGUCUGAGAGGAUGAUCAGCCACACUGGAACUGAGACACGGUCCAGACUCCUACGGGAGGCAGCAGUGGGGAAUAUUGGACAAUGGGCGCAAGCCUGAUCCAGCCAUACCGCGUGGGUGAAGAAGGCCUUCGGGUUGUAAAGCCCUUUUGUUGGGAAAGAAAAGCAGCAGGUUAAUACCCCGCUGUUCUGACGGUACCCAAAGAAUAAGCACCGGCUAACUUCGUG
rnacentral:rRNA from 1 species